AUGCAUUCAGAGGUCCCAGUGGAUAAUAAUGAGAAAAUUUGGAAUUCAAAGAUUCCACUAAAAGUUAAGAUCUUCAUGUGGUAUCUUAGGGGAAUGGUGCUAACAAAAGAUAACCUCGCCCGUCGCAACUGGCAAGGAAGCAAGAAGUGUAGCUUUUGUACUCAUGACGGGACAAUCAGACACCUCUUUUUUCAGUGCUAG
rnacentral:rRNA from 1 species